rnacentral:rRNA from 1 species
UACGUAGGUGGCAAGCGUUAUCCGGAUUUAUUGGGCGUAAAGCGAGCGCAGGCGGUUGCUUAGGUCUGAUGUGAAAGCCUUCGGCUUAACCGCAGAAGUGCAUCGGAAACCGGGCGACUUGAGUGCAGAAGAGGACAGUGGAACUCCAUGUGUAGCGGUGGAAUGCGUAGAUAUAUGGAAGAACACCAGUGGCGAAGGCGGCUGUCUGGUCUGCAACUGACGCUGAGGCUCGAAAGCAUGGGUAGCGAACAGG